rnacentral:rRNA from 1 species
CCAUACUACCCUGAGCAUGUCUGAUUUUUUAUGAUCUUAGAAGCUAAGCAAGGUUGGGCCUUCUUAGCACUUUGAUAGAAAAAAAGGGAUAUAACUUAAUCUCAGACACCCAGUGAGAACUAGGGGG